rnacentral:rRNA from 1 species
GUGUCAGCAGCCGCGGUAAUACAGAGGUGGCGAGCGUUAUUCGGAAUUAUUGGGCGUAAAGGGCGCGUAGGCGGCCAAGCAAGUCCCGGGUGAAAUCCCUCGGCUCAACCGAGGAACUGCCUUGGAAACUGUUUGGCUCGAGGCCGGGAGAGGGUAGUGGAAUUCCCAGUGUAGCGGUGAAAUGCGUAGAUACUGGGAGGAACACCGGUGGCGAAGGCGGCUACCUGGACCGGUUCUGACGCUGAGGCGCGAAAGCGUGGGGAGCAAACAGGAUUAGAUACCCCAGUAGUCC